rnacentral:rRNA from 1 species
AGCAGCCGCGGUAAUUCCAGCUCCAAUAGCGUAUAUUAAAGUUGUUGCAGUUAAAAAGCUCGUAGUUGAAUUUCGGGGUUCUACCGUUGGUCGGGCUUUGUCUGUACUGGCGUGUAGAAUUUCUACCUUCUGGGGAACCAUCAUGUUAUUAAUUUGACGUGGUGGGAAACCAGGACCUUUACCUUGAAAAAAUUAGAGUGUUCAAAGCAGGCUUAUGUCUGAAUACAUUAGCAUGGAAUAAUAGAAUAGGACGGUGGUCCUGUUUUGUUGGUUUCUGAAUCACCGUAAUGAUUAAUAGGGAUAGUUGGGGGCAUUAGUAUUCAAUUGUCAGAGGUGAAAUUCUUGGAUUUAG